GCCGGGCCCUGUGGUGCACACCUGUAAUCCCAGUAACUUGGGAGGCUGAGGCAGGAGGAUUACAAGUUCAAAGCCAGCCUCAGAAACUUAGUGAGGCCCUAAGCAACUUAGUGAGACCCUGCUUCAA
rnacentral:sRNA from 1 species